GGAGGCACAGCUCUGUGGUAGAGCAUCUUUUGUCUUCAGAAGGUCCUAAAUUCAAUCCCUGGCAUGUCCAGUUAGGGUUGGGAGAGACCCCUUGGAUAGUCAUUGCCUGUUACUGGGCUAGAGGGACCAAGGCAUCUUAUUAUAUUCCAAGGACUUCUAUUCCUUGACUCAACGUCUGAGCUUGGCUCCGUGCUUGGGGAGAAGGUCCAUGCAGAAGGUCCCAGGUUCAAUCCCUGGCAUCUCCA